GGUGUUCUGCACUUCGCGACAGGAAAUAACAUAUUCCUGAGGCCUUAUUGAUUUCCAAGGGAGCUGUCCCUGAAAGAGCUCGUGGGCUUUUUCACACGGUGCCCACCUAGUAUACUAGGCACUCGGAAUCAACUUUUUCCAUCGGUUGUUGCGGUUCACCU
rfam:Bartonella rochalimae ATCC BAA-1498 genomic scaffold supercont1.1, whole genome shotgun sequence.